CCGAAGUCUAAAAAACUUUUCAAUUUCAAAAAUGUACCACUUUCCGUGAGUGAUUUUCUUCAAACUAAUACAUCUUAUGCCCUUUGGAAUGACGAUGGCACACCCAAAACGGGAUACGCAGAUACCAGAAUGCCACCUGUAUAUGGUACUCCUUUUGUGCUUAGCCAAAGCUUCUGUGAUGCAGGAUUGGCCCCUUGUGAUGUGGGGCAAUGUGGCCUGUCAUUGCAAAAGGCACCUGUUGAAAAUGUUGUGAUCAGGGUGAGCGAUAUUAUUGUUACUGGGCGCGUCAGUGAGCAGCCAUGCUUUUGUAGGGUAAAUCACAUAGUGUAUUUUAAUGACCAGGUAUUUGUAAAUUGCAAACUUCUGACAACAACUUAUGUUCCAAAAGUGAAUGCCUUCAUGGGAAGUGUUACAGACCAUGAGGCCAUUUUGUCAACUAAAAGCUUGCUUCUCCCCUGGCCUGUAUUUACAUAUUCAAAAGAUAAUUGUAUUUUAUGCAUCCCUCAGUCUAUUUACACUGCAUCACAUGUUCAAGUUACAUAAGUGAUCUGUGUAGCUAACCAACAAGCAGAGAGAGAAAAAACAUUUCAUUUCGGCCCCCUGUGCGGCGGGCUACUGGGCAUUGGAGCGAUGGUGAUGUUGUGGGAAACGGGGGUGAGGGUGUGACGUCGGUGGCGUCGACUCUUGCUUGGGCUCUGUCUGCUUCUUGUGGUACAGUGAGCCCAAGGGCCGUUGUAAGCUGCAUUAUUGCGGUCACAUUAGAUGGUGUCGGGUCACUAAGCCACUCCUAAAGUGUGUGGGGUCUUUUGGUAGUCCUUUAGGUAUAGAUUGAAGUGCCUCUUGACUGCCUGUACAGUGCCACAGUGUAGGGGAUGCAUUUGGGCAUUCCUUGUAUUCCGUCCAUAUUGUGCAGGCCUCUUUUCCGGCUUGUAGUGCAGGAUGUUUUUUGUGUGGGCAGACAGUACAUUUGGGCUUGGCAUGUGUGCAUGCAACAGCGUCGUGUGUUGUCGAGCAUGGUGGAAAUGGAAGAAUUGUUUCUUGUUCAUGCCAUUCCUCUAUUUUUAGGUGUUGCAUGUAUGAGGCUAUUUGUUUUAAUUCUGUAUGAGUGAGUGCAUCUGUUCACUAGUGUGGAAGUCCCUGAAUGUUUACAUGUGAUAGAGCAUGUGCAUUUUCAUUGUCCCCAAUGUUACAGUGGCUAGGUACCCUUUGAAUGGUGAUAUCAAUGUAGCAUUUCAUGUAGCAAUUUGUUGUAUAUCAAUGUAGCAUUUCAUGGAUGUAGUUGGGCAGGCUUCCUGUGAGGAAAGCUUGGCAUGCUGCUUGAGUGUCCGUGCUAAUUAUAAUGUUUUACACGUGUUGUGGUGCUGUUAUUGCCACUAUUUCAGCUGUUGUUUGGGUAGGCAAACGUGUGCAGGUCUUGGGUAUAUGCAUUGGUCGCAAUGUUGUAUGUCACCGUGCAGCUUAUUGCAGCGUUUGUACCCGGAGAUGGCGUGUGUGUAUUACGCUGUUCUGUUCAGGCAAUCAUGUUGUGCAUGUGUUUGUCUUCUUCCUAGGCAGGUUUGUGGGUCCAUGUUUCAAGGCAUUGACAUUAUGCAAAUGUCGGGCAUUUGUCACAUUGGAGGUAGAAGUGUUAUUUGAGGCAUGUUGUCUUGAGGAUGUAUGUCCAAGAUCUCUAAGCAUCCUUUGACCUUGCUGAUAUCAUUUGAAUCUAGUUGUUUGGGGUUCUGUGUAGACCAACAAAGAGCAUAGCAACAUAGCUUAUAGAUGUGUGGUUUCAAACUUGUGGCAAAGCAAGGAAGUAAAAGGGUGACAGACACUGAAGCCAGAGAACGCUAGGGAAAAUAACUUCUUUUUUUUCAUUUUAAGGGGGACAAGUACUAGCGAAAGAAAAAUAAUGUGGAACACAAUGCUGCUGGUGGAAAUACAACAUGCUUUGUCCAAAUUGUCAUGUCCAAAUUUACAAUGUGAUACUAUCUCGUUUUCCCUGCAGCAGCCAGCAGCCGCCAUAGCUGAAUUGGUAGAGCAUCCCAUUGAAAAUCUACUUCCUGAUAUGCCACUAGGUGCAUUGCGAGGACUAUUUAUAUUGUCUUACAAAUGGCCAGUAAUGGUUUAACUGUCCAAAUUGUCAUGCUGUGUCAUCCCAGUAACACAUAUUCACGAAUACAAUACGGAUAGCUUCACUGUUGUGACUUGUAGUAGUGACGGUCACUGUGUUGAUAUUCGUUAUUUUUGUUUUUGUUGUAAUUCAGUCAGAGUGUUGCGUUCUAUGUUCUGUAUGUCUACUGCUCUUUCUUUUCUUUAUUCUGAUUUUGAAGUUUAUACCAAGCGUUUUAUGUGAUCGAAAUGUAUUGUUUGCUUGUUGGUUCAUUAUAGCAGCAAAUGGAGCUUGAAAAGAGGCAGGAAAGGAGAGUGGUAUGAUCACGAGGUGCCCUUUGAUCAUCGCAGUCUCCUUUCUUGUCUCACUUCUUCUCCGAUACCAUUUGCUGCUGUUUUAUGUGACUACUGUGUUACUGACCAGCUGUACUGUCUGUAUUACAUAUUCAAAUAGCUUAUUACGUGGCACAAUAAAAUAUGUACAGAAAGCUACUUAGAAUUAAUGCUCCUUUAUUUGGUUUGGAUUGUAAUCGUGAUGCUGUGGUUCCAUAUUCUUUAUAGAAGCCACUUGCAAGUGUCCAGUGGUCACCAGAAAACAAGCUGCCUGUGUUUUCUUGCGUUGUUGAACCACUUCUUCAUGGAAUGGACAUUACUGAGAGUAUUCAUCGUCGUCUUUCGAAACAACUUCGUCAUGAGUUGAUUCAUUUUCUUGAUAAAAACAACCUUAUUCAAGAUGAGAACACUGCAAUUAGGCGAUGGAAGUACUAUGCACUAGGGGAGACCUUAGCAGCAACUUACCCAAAUAUGCUUUGGGAAAAGGCAAAGCAAGACAAGGAAGGCCGAAUCAAAUCACCUAAGAGUGUGUUUGUAUCAAGACUUGCGGAAGCGAGGCGGCAUAGGUGGCUACGACAGGCAAGGCGAAAGGCCGCAAACAACGAAUCAGUUGAGGCUUCAUUUAAUGUGGUCAUUGUGCAAGAUGUUGAUCCUGAAUCUGCAUUAAAAGAGCUGGCAGUAAGUUAUGUAGCAAUAUUUUAUACGGUUUCAACAGCUAAUUCUGGGAAGACUGAAGAACACACACAGCAGGGAAAGGGCAAGAUUAGCCACAAAUGCCUGAAGGUAUUCCAUGAAUAUUUACACUCACAGUGGCAUACACUAAACACUUAGGUCAGGGAGUAAUGCCUUCUCUUGGCAGUUGUCUAAGCAUCACCUAUAUUCUACAUGAGAUGUUCUACUCAUUAUCAUAUUCAGUGUGUACUGACCUGUAAUUAUUUGUUGAAAGUAACCAUUUCAACAACAACAAUGCUGAGCCUGGUAAAGUUUAUUGAAUUAAGUGAUCCUAAUUCAUAUCUAAAACUAGUGAAACCAUCAGCUAGUAUUAAAAGCGUCCAGUGCUUUUUUUUGCUAGGUGUCAUUUUGUCUGCAAGUACUGGUGAAAAUACCGCGGCAGUGAAAUGCAGACCAGCUUAACACUUCUGCCAGAAUCAGGCACAUGUUGAAGGGAAGAGCUCCGUAUUGUGUCUUGUGAUACAGGCAGCUUCGUAAAUUCAUUGGGUUUAACACUUGUCAAUUUUUGAAUAGUCAUUCAUCGGAAAAAAUGACUGAAGUUAAAAUGUAUUUGCUUUUCUUUCUUUUUAUUUUAGUCCAUAGAAAACGUCCUUGGUCCGAGCGGUCCUUUUGACACUGAAAGGGUUGCAGUUCUUCUCCACAGCACAUUGAGUCAGCGUAAAAUUGACCCUCCGCUUAGUCUACCACGCUACUUCCUCAACGAGGAUAUUCUUACUGUGGAGGCUCAGCUGAGAUUCAAGAGGACAAUUGAUGAAGUCAUGGAUAUCCUCUGCAAAGUCAGGGAAAUUAUAAGUGAAAUGUGUAACCACCAGAUGGAUUAUAGAGACAUUGAUAACUACCUGCGUGGCAAUCACGCCAAAUCUUCACUCAUAACUUCACAUUUUGCAGAUGUCCAUGAGUCACCAGGACCAACGAUUGUUUGGAGCACAUCGACAAAGGCCAUUUUUGUGCUGAAGAUGAAUUGGUCUCCUUGAAGGAUGAUUGCAUGCUCGAGAAGGCCCUUUUACUUUGCUUGACAGUGUACUACGUAAAAGAUAUCACUUACCCAUCUGCCUUUGCCCAAACUUUGGGACUUGUACAAAGUGUGUUGUGCAAAGAAGAAAGCUUUCCUCGUUGAUGGGCUAAUAGUAAGCUGCUAAAGAUCGUCGACAAACUGAAGAGCAUUCUCUAAGUUCUUCAUGCAGCUUUCUUUCAUGUCUUUAUCUUUUAAUAUGCAAAUUUUCUCAUUGCUGGGCUAGCAUAAGCUUCUCAGGAUUUUCUGGUUCUGUUCAUGUUCAUGCAAAUUUUUUUCAAUGUUCUUUCACUAUAGAAUACCUGAGAAGGUACACAAGCAAUGUAAUCUGUGAUAUAUCAAUGCAACAUUUCCUUUUAUUUAUAGCUCAUUGUAAACUUUUUCAAUGACAUAGAAUUCCAAUAAUGCACAAUACAUUGUUUCAUUUCUCACGCAGUGCUUACGAACAAUUUUAUUAUUAGGGCAAUAUUAUCUAGCACUUUUUUAUGCUCAGUUGACGCGCUUUUGUGAAAACAUUGUGCAAUCUUAUUAGCCACUUCAGCAAGAAAAGGGGCUUUCUCAAACUCUAGGCCUACUGAAACUGUCCUGUUGAGGUAGAUAUACUAAAACACCGAGUCCUGUUAUUUCCUUCUUAUUAUUUUUUCUCCCCUCAUCCCAUCAUGCUACGUCAAUAUACCUUCACUGAAACAUAGGGUAACUGAUUAUCAAUUUAAAGGAGUCACCUAUUAGUGAUAAAAUAUAGUAGGCGAGCCAUGUAGUCUGUGAUAUCAAACUAACAAUUUAUUUCACUGUGUAUUCUUGUCUUGUAAUAAGCACCAAAACAGACAAAGGUACAAAAAACAUUGCGAGCUCUUCGUUCUUGUCUUUCUUUAGCGCAAAAUUUUUCACAUCAAUGAAAACCAACUUGCUCACUUUACUCUCGUUAUUAUUCUAGUCAGUGCCAUGUUGUUAUAUUUGUCACGCUGCGCUUAAGGAAAGUGUUACGAUUAAAGUUGACAUAUAGCUAGCUCCUGUCCUUUAUGCUUAGCUGAUGCAUCUUCAUGCAAAUUUGUCGCACACUCCACAAAAAAAGUGGUCUCCUCAAUGUGUACGCCUACUGAAGCACAUGCUAGUUCAUUAUUGAUUCAUUCUAGUCACCUGAGAAGGCUUCAAAUUCCUAAGGCAUAGCAAAGCAGCAAUCUGUUUUCAGUUUUUGUAUUACUUGCUUAAUUGUUUUUGUUUUUUAACUUUGUUAUAGGACUCACCUACGCAUUCAUAAAUUUUUUAAAGGUGUGAACGCUGGGUGUUUUCAUGCUUGAUUGAAAAUAAACUACUUUUAAUUCUAAAGGUGCUGUGUGUGUAUUUUUAAAGGUGUGUACAAUGGGUGUUUUCAUGUAUGAUUGAAAAUAAACUACAUUUAAUGUUAAAAGUAAGUGCUGUGUGUGUUAGUGUGCAGGCUCACUACACAAACAGAGGUAAGUCGCACAGUCUGGGAAAUGUCCAGUUCAAUUAGGCAAAACGUUUAUAGCUCUUACAACGUGUAGCGGUCACGUACGCAUGUAUACAUGGCUUAUGAGAACUCAAGAUGCGCUGGCAACUUUAGAGGCAUCUCCAAAAAAUGUCCACACUUCUGCACUGAUAAAAUUGAGCAUGCAAUAAGCCCUCCUUCCAUUCUCGAUUUGAUUAGCCCCC